rnacentral:rRNA from 1 species
UACGUAGGUGGCAAGCGUUGUCCGGAUUUAUUGGGUUUAAAGGGUGCGUAGGCGGUUCUAUAAGUCAGUGGUGAAAUCCGGCAGCUCAACUGUCGAUGUGCCAUUGAUACUGCAGAACUUGAGUACAGACGAGGUAGGCGGAAUUGACGGUGUAGCGGUGAAAUGCUUAGAUAUCGUCAAGAACACCGAUAGCGAAGGCAGCUUACUAGACUGUAACUGACGCUGAUGCACGAAAGUGUGGGGAUCAAAACAGG